GCGAUGCUGUCACGGCGACCGUGUUACAAUCGCUUCUUGGAGGAGGUGGUUCGUUUUCUUCCGGAGGCCAGGGCAAGGGUGUCCAUUCUAGAUUGUAUACUCGCGUUCUGGCUGUUCAUCCCAAGGUGGAAAAUUUUACUGCUUUUACUUCCGUGUACAAUGACUCCGGCUUGUUUGGAAUUCACGCAUCGUCUGAGCACAAGUUUGUAGGCGAGCUUGUAGAUCUCAUAGGAGAUGAGC